rnacentral:rRNA from 1 species
CACGGGGGGAGCAAGCGUUGUUCGGAAUCACUGGGCGUAAAGGGCGUGUAGGCGGUCAGGUAAGUGGAAUGUGAAAGCCCUCGGCUCACCCGAGGAUCUGCAUUCCAAACUGCCUGGCUUGAGUAUGGGAGAGGAUGAGGGAAUUCCUGGUGUAGCGGUGAAAUGCGUAGAUAUCAGGAGGAACACCGGUGGCGAAGGCGGUUCUCUGGGCAUGUCCUGACGCUGAGGAGCGAAAGUGUGGGGAGCGAACAGG